rnacentral:rRNA from 1 species
AGCGAACGCUGGCGGCAGGCCUAACACAUGCAAGUCGAACGAACUCUUCGGAGUUAGUGGCGGACGGGUGAGUAACACGUGGGAACGUGCCUUUUGGUUCGGAAUAACUCAGGGAAACUUGUGCUAAUACCGAAUGUGCCCUUCGGGGGAAAGAUUUAUCGCCAUUAGAGCGGCCCGCGUCUGAUUAGCUAGUUGGUGAGGUAACGGCUCACCAAGGCGACGAUCAGUAGCUGGUCUGAGAGGAUGACCAGCCACACUGGGACCGAGACACGGCCCAGACUCCUACGGGAGGCAGCAGUGGGGAAUCUUGCGCAAUGGGCGAAAGCCUGACGCAGCCAUGCCGCGUGAAUGAUGAAGGUCUUAGGAUUGUAAAAUUCUUUCACCGGGGACGAUAAUGACGGUACCCGGAGAAGAAGCCCCGGCUAACUUCGUG